GUAAAAGAGCUUUAGCAGAAGCUUUAGUUAGAAAGGGGUUUUGAGAUUGAGGAUUUUAUAAGAACUGGAAGAAGUCUCGUAUGGGAAAAGGGAAAACAAGCCAAAGAAGAGAUUUGGUGAAAAUCUUUUCAUCAACAAGGCAUAAAAACCAGAAAAUUAUUGGUGUAUUUUUAUGAUAAACUCCAGAUUGAUUGAAGGAAGUGCUACGGAUUGCUUGGGGUGGUGCGUUUGGUAUUUUGGCACGAGUACAAGACAGCAGUUGACGCGAGCGAGGAUUUCAUUAAUUAGAGUACACUAGUUGAUAGUUCCUGGUGAGCUCCACAUUUGUUCAUGUGGGCGAAGAGUUUAUUUGUUUGCUAUGUUCUCUCCAUUUGAACUCUUAGAGUCGCUCUAUAUUCAUUUUAUUAGUGUCAUGAGUAUUCGUUCAUUAUUAGACCCAUGACUAGUAUUAGAUUCUCUUAUAGUGUUUUAGAGAUGAGUUUAAGAUUACUGUGUUGCAAGUGAUUGAUUAACAGUGGUGAAUAACUGUUUAAUUGAAGAUUAUGAGAUAUUUGGUUGAUAUAGUUGGUUCUGUUGUUUA